AGGCAAGCAGAAUAGUAACUAGAAGUAACUAAGUAACGGUAAAUUACAAAUGUAUAGAACUGCACGCACAUAGAAUUUAAAAUUAUAUAGAAAGGCAUAGAUAAGUGUUUAAAGACCAUAGCUACUAGUAACGGUAAGGAUUAAGAAUGGGGAGAAAGGCCUCGAAAGAAGCCCCAGAACUGACGGGAGAUCGAGCGAUGUAUGUAUGGGGGGUCUUUCCCGGUUCUUGGUAGUCAGUGUUCUUGAUAGUGAAAAGUGAUCGUGUGGUUGAGGUUCCGUGGGAAGAAACGGAACAGGUGAUUACUGUAUACGGUUUUAUGCCCAGCAGGAGAACUACAGAGGGAGGUGGCACACGAGAUUCAACCAGGAGACUGGAUCUGGAUCCAAUCACUAAAAAGAAAAAAAAGUGGAAGCAGCCUCGGUGGGAGGGACCAUUCCAAGUACUACUGGACUCUGGAGAGAUCAAUGACACUACAGAUUCCAGAUUCCAGGUUCUGACCCAUGGAGGACUGAAGGCAUGUCUACAGAGGAAGUGGAUGAAUCCGGAUCUGUCAUUUGUGGGGAAUUUAUGUUUGAUGAGAAUAGUGUUGAGAUGUAGGGGAAUUGGAUUGUAAUUUGUUUCAAUGAUUAAACUGUUUUUUAAUAAAGAUUGUAAAAAGAAAAAAGAUCCUGAAA